rnacentral:rRNA from 1 species
GAGGAAUAAGCAUCGGCUAACUCCGUGCCAGCAGCCGCGGUAAUACGGGGGAUGCAAGCGUUAUCCGGAAUCAUUGGGCGUAAAGCGCCUGUAGGUUGUUUAUUAAGUCUGUUGUUAAAGACUAGGGCUUAACCCUAGAAAAGCAAUGGAAACUAAUAGACUAGAGUAUGGCAGGGGUAGAGGGAAUUUCUAGUGUAGCGGUGAAAUGCGUAGAUAUUAGAAAGAACACCGGUGGCGAAAGCGCUCUACUGGACCAUUACUGACACUCAGAGGCGAAAGCUAGGGUAGCAAAAGGGAUUAGAUACCCCUGUAGUCCUAGCCGUAAACGAUGGAUACUAGAUGUUGUGCAUUAAGUACAGUAUCGUAGCUAACGCGUUAAGUAUCCCGCCUGGGGAGUACGCUCGCAAGGGUGAAACUCAAAGGAAUUGACGGGGGCCCGCACAAGCGGUGGAGCAUGUGGUUUAAUUCGAUGCAACGCGAAGAACCUUACCAGGGCUUGACAUACUACGAAUUCUUUUGAAAGAGAGAAGUGCCUUCGGGAAUGUAGAUACAGGUGGUGCAUGGCUGUCGUCAGCUCGUGUCGUGAGAUGUUGGGUUAAGUCCCGCAACGAGCGCAACCCUUAUUUUUAGUUACCAAUUCGUUGGGUUUUUUAGAAAGACUGCCGGUGACAAACCGGAGGAAGGUGAGGAUGACGUCAAGUCAGCAUGCCCCUUAUGUCCUGGGCUACACACGUGCUACAAUGGUUAAGACAAAGAGUUGCGAGCUUGCAAAAGCCAGCUAAUCUCAUAAACUUAGCCUAAGUUCAGAUUGUAGGCUGCAACUCGCCUACAUGAAG